rnacentral:tRNA from 1 species
UGGCACUAAUGGUUAAGCAUUCAGCUCUUAACUGAAAGGUUGGUGGUUCGAGUCCACC